rnacentral:snRNA from 1 species
GGAUGUGAGGGCAAUCUGGCUGCGACAUCUGUCACCCCAUUGAUCGCCAGGGUCGAUUCGGCUGAUCUGGCUGGCUAGGCGGGUGUCCCCUUCCUCCCUCACCGCUCCAUGGGCGUCCCUCCCAAAGCUGCGCACUCGGUCGAAGAGGACGACCUUCCCCGAUAGAGGAGGACCGUUCUUCGCUCAAGGGUCUACGAGUAGCUGGGCUCCUCUGCUAGAACCUCCAACCAAGCUCUCAAGAAGUGAUAUGAACGAAUGCUUGCUUGUUUCUUGCAGGGCUACUUGAAAAAAAAAAGUAUUU